ACGUAGGGAGCAAGCGUUGUUCGGAAUUAUUGGGCGUAAAGAGCGCGUAGGCGGUUCGGUAAGUCUGACGUGAAAUCCCGGAGCUUAACUCCGGAACUGCGUUGGAUACUGCCGAGCUUGAGUGUGGGAGAGGAGAGUGGAAUUCCCAGUGUAGAGGUGAAAUUCGUAGAUAUUGGGAGGAACACCCGUGGCGAAGGCGGCUCUCUGGACCACAACUGACGCUGAGGCGCGAAAGCUAGGGUAGCAAACGGGAUUAGAUACCCCGGUAGUCCUAGCCGUAAACGAUGGGCACUAGGUGUUGGAGGUAUCGACCCCUCCAGUGCCGCAGCUAACGCAUUAAGUGCCCCGCCUGGGGAGUACGGUCGCAAGACUA
rnacentral:rRNA from 1 species